rnacentral:tRNA from 1 species
UUUAAAUAGUUUAUAUAUAAAAUAUUAAUUUGUGAUAUUAGAGAAAAAUUAUAAAUUUUUUAAAUUA